rnacentral:rRNA from 1 species
UGACUAAGCCAUGCAAGUCGAGAGGGUUCGGCCCUCGGCGUACUGCUCAGUAACACGUGGAUAACCUGCCCUAAGGAAGGGGAUACCCUCGGGAAACUGAGGAUAAUACCCUAUAGGUUACCGAUGCUGGAAUGCUCGGUAACUCAAAGUUCCGGCGCCUUAGGAUGGAUCUGCGGCCGAUUAGGUAGUUGUUGGGGUAACGGCCCAACAAGCCCGUAAUCGGUACGGGUUGUGGGAGCAAGAGCCCGGAGUUGGAUUCUGAGACACGAAUCCAGGCCCUACGGGGCGCAGCAGGCGCGAAAACUUUACAAUGCGGGCAACCGUGAUAAGGGAACCUCGAGUGCCUGUACAUGCAGGCUGUCUGGGUGUCUAAAACACACCCAAAGAAAGGGCCGGGCAAGACCGGUGCCAGCCGCCGCGGUAAUACCGGCGGCUCGAGUGGUGGCCACUUUUAUUGGGCUUAAAGCGUUCGUAGCUGGGUUGUUAAGUCUCUUGGGAAAUCCGGCGGCUUAACCGUCGGGCGUCUAAGAGAUACUGGCAAUCUUGGAACCGGGAGAGGUGAGGGGUACUUCGGGGGUAGGAGUGAAAUCCUGUAAUCCUCGAGGGACCACCUGUGGCGAAGGCGCCUCACCAGAACGGCUUCGACAGUGAGGGACGAAAGCUGGGGGAGCAAACCGGAUUAGAUACCCGGGUAGUCCCAGCCGUAAACGAUGUGCGUUAGGUGUAUCGACGACCACGAGUCGUCGAGGUGCCGAAGGGAAACCGUGAAACGUACCGCCUGGGAAGUACGGUCGCAAGGCUGAAACUUAAAGGAAUUGGCGGGGGAGCA